rnacentral:rRNA from 1 species
AAGGGUGAGUAAUGCGACGGUAACCAACCCCAUGGUUGGGUAUAGCCGCGGGAAACUGCGGGUAAUCCCCAGCGAAGCAAAGCCGCCGGCAUCGGUGGUUUGCCAAAGCUCAGGCGCCGUGGGACGGGCCGUUGUGGUAUUAGGUAGUUGGGGGGGUAAUGGGCCACCAAGCCUACGAUGCCUACCGGGCGUGCGAGCGUGGCCCGGCACACUGGGACUGAGACACUGCCCAGACUCCUACGGGAGGCUGCAGUCGAGAAUCUUCGGCAAUGGGCGCAAGCCUGACCGAGCGACGCCGCGUGGAGGAUGAAGGCCUUCGGGUUGUAAACUCCUGUCGAGGGGGAAGAAGGUCCGCAAGGACUUGACUGAUCCCUGGAGGAAGCACGGGCUAAGUUCGUGCCAGCAGCCGCGGUAAGACGAACCGUGCGAACGUUAUUCGGAAUCACUGGGCUUAAAGCGCGUGUAGGCGGGAAGGUACGUCCGUCGCUGAAAUCCCCCGGCUCAACCGGGGAACUGGCGUGGAUACGGCCAUCCUGGAGGGGCGUAGGGGGACCUGGAACUUCCGGUGGAGCGGUGAAAUGCGUUGA